rnacentral:snoRNA from 1 species
AAGACCGUACUUCUAGGGAUCAGUCCUAUAGUACGUAUCGCCAGGACGUCAAACAAACUUGACCCUGGCUAUUUGUGCGUCGGUGGCACA